GGGCGGUUAGCUCAGUUGGUUUAGAGCGUCUGCCUUACAAGCAGAAUGUCGCUGGUUCGAGUCCAGCACCGCCCA
rnacentral:tRNA from 1 species